CUGGCUGGCUCCCUGGCUGCGGCUCCUCAGUCGGCGGCGGCUGCUGCUGCCUGUGGCCCGGGCGGCUGGGAGAAGCGGAGUGUUGGUGAGUGACGCGGCGGAGGUGUAGUUUGACGCGGUGUGUUACGUGGGGGAGAGAAUAAAACUCCAGCGAGAUCCGGGCCGCGAACGAAAGCAGUGACGGAGGAGCUUGUACCACCGAUGAGGAAACUGAAACAUAAAACGCUUAAAGUCAUUUGUCCAACAACCCCUUGCUGACAAUGCCGCUUCAUGACAAAUCCAGCUUCCUACCAAGUGUUAGGCUCCCUUCCCCAACUACCUACAGCAGCAUUCUUUGUUUCUGUCAAGAUUAGGUAACUAAAUGACCAUGGAAUCUGCAGCAGAGAACCAGCAGAGUGGAGAUGCAGCUGUAACAGAAGCUGAAAACCAACAAAUGACAGUGCAAGCCCAGCCACAGAUUGCCACAUUAGCCCAGGUAUCUAUGCCAGCAGCUCAUGCAACAUCAUCUGCUCCCACGGUAACUUUAGUACAACUGCCCAAUGGGCAGACAGUUCAAGUGCAUGGAGUUAUUCAGGCGGCCCAGCCAUCAGUUAUACAGUCUCCACAAGUCCAGACAGUUCAGUCUUCCUGUAAGGACUUAAAAAGGCUUUUCUCCGGAACACAGAUUUCAACUAUUGCAGAAAGUGAAGAUUCACAGGAGUCAGUGGAUAGUGUAACUGACUCCCAGAAACGAAGGGAAAUUCUUUCGAGGAGGCCUUCCUACAGGAAAAUUUUGAAUGAUUUAUCUUCUGAUGCACCAGGAGUGCCAAGGAUUGAAGAGGAGAAGUCUGAAGAGGAGACUUCAGCACCUGCUAUCACCACUGUCACGGUGCCAACUCCCAUCUACCAGACCAGCAGUGGGCAGUACAUUGCCAUUACCCAAGGAGGAGCAAUACAGCUGGCUAACAAUGGUACCGAUGGGGUGCAGGGCCUGCAGACAUUAACUAUGACCAAUGCAGCUGCCACUCAGCCGGGUACUACCAUUCUACAGUAUGCACAGACCACAGAUGGACAACAGAUCUUAGUGCCCAGCAACCAAGUUGUGGUUCAAGCUGCCUCCGGAGAUGUACAGACAUACCAAAUUCGCACAGCACCCACUAGCACCAUUGCACCUGGAGUUGUUAUGGCUUCCUCCCCAGCACUUCCUACACAGCCUGCUGAAGAAGCAGCACGAAAGAGAGAGGUUCGUCUAAUGAAGAACAGGGAAGCAGCACGAGAGUGUCGUAGGAAGAAAAAAGAAUAUGUGAAAUGUUUAGAAAACAGAGUGGCAGUGCUUGAAAACCAAAACAAGACACUGAUUGAGGAGCUAAAAGCACUUAAGGACCUUUACUGCCACAAAUCAGAUUAAUUUGGGAUUUAAAUUUUCACCGUUAAGGUGGAAAAUGGACUGGAUUGGCCUCAACCAGAAAGACAAAAUAAACAUUUUAUUUUCUAAACAUUUCUUUUUUUUCUAUGCGCAAAACUGCCUGAAAGCAACUACAGAAUUUCAUUUGUGCUUUUGCAUUAAACUGUGAAUGUUCCAAUACCUGCCUCCACUUCUCCCCUCAAGAAAUUGUCAGCACCAGGAAUCAUGAAGAGACUUCUGCUUUUCAGCCCUACCCUCCUCAAGAAGUAAUCAUUGGUUUACUUGUAAAUUGAUGGGGGAAAUGAGGACAAGAAAAUCUUUUUAAAAAUGAUUUCAAGGUUUGUGCUGAGCUCCUUGAUUGCCUUAGGGACAGAAUUACCCCAGCCUCUUGAGCUGACGUAAUGUGUGGGCCGCAUGCAUAAAGAUGAACAAAAUUUAUGAAGGAGCAUCAUUCUAAGAAUUGAGUGAUGUAAUCUUUUAUUUGGAAAAUUCACCAGAUUCUCAAGAAGGCUUUCAAACAACUAAAGUUUGAUGUUUGUCCUGCUGAGCUAAAGGCGAAAGUUAUAGCGUAAAAAUUGUAAAGCAACAUAGAUAUGUGAUUUUCUAAACCCGGUGUUACAGAAACUAAGCAGAAACACAGAUCUGUUCACAGACUGGAUUUCUUAAUUGAGUUGAGAAGUCAAAUUGAUCAUUUUGAAUGAUAUAAGCAUUAUCAAUGAAAAAUCGCCUGGGAUCUCACAAAUUGUAUUCUUGAAAGUUACCUGCUUUUCAGAAGUUGAGGAUUUCUGCUCAAUUAGGAACUUGGUGGUCCUCUGGGUCCCUGACCAAUCAAGGCAAUUACAUCCAUAUUAGGAAAGACCAGGUCCUGGAGGGUGGCUACACUGAUUUGAAGUUGUGACUUACUGGUAAGAUAAGAAGUGAAACGUAUUCUUUUGCUAAACAUGUUAUAGACCCUUGGAGAGACUUGAAAAUUUCCGUGUACACAGACAGAAAUCAAGGCUCUUUUUGUGCAAGCUUUUUUUUUUUUUAAAUACAAGGAAGGGGGCGUGUUUUUAAGCUUGAAAUUUUGAGAAUCUUUACUAAGAAAAUGACAUAAUUAAAAAAAAAAAAUCUUGUAGCCAAGAACAUACGUGGCCAUGUUUCUCUCUUCAUAUUGGCCAAAAGGGAAUGAAAAUGCCAUCAUAGGAAUCUGUAUAUAUGCUACUGAUUUGCCUAGAAAAUAGCAAGUUUGGUAGUGCUCACUUCGCAAAUAUAGGGCCGUAUGGCACUUUUAUCUAUAGGACAGAUUAACUCUAAUAAAAGUGAAAUAGGGAGGGGUUUAUUUUUGAUAUAUUACUCUUCUGAAGUUUUCAAGCUUUGAUAGUGUUAAACUGAAAAGUGGUUUAGAAAGGGCUAGAUUCAAUGUGUUCACAUUUUUAAAAUGUCAUAUACAAUUUUUUAAGUUCAUUCUUUUUCAAACUCAAGUACCAUAUUGGCAACCAUAAUGUCAUUAGGUGCUCUGUUCAUCAUUUAGAUAUUCUUGGGGAAGAGGGUGGGGAAAUGGCAUUUGUAAAAUAAAUGUAAAUAUAUAUACAUAUAUAUAUACAUACAUACAGUAUAUAAUCUAAAGCUCUGAGAGCUCUUAAGUCAGGAAUGCGGAGUAUUAUAGUAUAUUGAGGUCAGAUGAAAUUUUACAUUUUUGUGUAUUCUAUUGCAUCCCUUCUGAUAGUUUCUAUGACUGCAUUAUUCCAGCACUCAUGAUUGGUUUUUUUAUCUUCGAAUUUUCUUCCAAGUGUUUUAUUUUCUUUGGCUUGAUGCUUCAGAGCAGGUUGUUAUCCACUUGAGGCCCCCUCCCCAACCCCACACCAAAAAGAAAGUAUUUCAUUUUCAUGCUUUGUCUCUGGCAGCUAUAACAGUGAUAAAAAACAUUUUGAAAACAGUUUUGUUUUGUUUUGUUUUAAGGAACCAUUGAUUCUUUUCAAAAAAUCAUCCUGGGGGAGGAAUUAUGGUGUUUUAUUUGAGCAGGGAUUUUGUCAGAAAGCGUGUUUGGAUGGUGGGUCAGCAGCAGUGCUAUCUGGAAGCACAACACCGCCCUGUCGGGCUGCCCAGUCCCAAGUCAUCCAGCUGCGGUGGUGUCGGUUCUGCUCCAUACAGGGUUUGACUAUUGGUGACGUGGGGUCAUACAAAGGCUUAGGAAGAAUGCAAAUAUGUAUAAACCAGGAUGUUUUCACUUGAAACAACUUCAAUCUAGAUUUCUUUUCAUAUUUAGAAAGUUUUCAACUCUGGUCACAGCUAUAGUCAUGUAAAUUGUGUUUAUUUCGAAGAUCAAAAGCUGCUUCAUUUUGCAGAUUUAAAUAAAGCUAAUAUAUCUGAAAGUUGAGAUUUUGAAUUACAGUGGGUUUCAGAAGCAGUGGCUGCAUGCCUUUUCAGUUACUUUAAAGAGGCUUUUUCUGUUUCGCUGCCUUUUGUAGCCCUGAAAACUGUUGGUAUUUGUUUCCCAUUGACCUAAUACAAAAGUUGUAUAUUUAUUUGAAUUAUAUUUGCAUUGUGUUCUUUGUAAAUGUUUGAUGUAACUUGCACUUUUGCAAACUGCCCAGUUUGGGUAUUAGCAGCUUAAGAAACUAUCAGAUGAUUAGCAGUCGACUCUGGUCUUUCACCUCUUCAAAAAUGGAAACUUUUUGUUGAUUAAAAUAUUUAGCAUUUUAAAAGCUAGCCUUAAAAAAUUAUAAAGGAAAACAUGUUACUCUGUUUCGUCAUGAAUAAAGAUUGAAGGAAAAAUGCAAGAAAUUAAUAUUUAACCUUCAAUUUUAAAUGAUAAUAUACCUUCACCCCAGCAUUAACACUGUCAGUAGUAUGUCAAAGUAUCCAUUAUUUGUCCAACGUAGUAAAGGAUUUGUAAAUCAACUAAUUGUUUCAGGAAGACCACAUUAGAAGUCAUCUACUAAAUUAUUUUCAUUUGGAAUGCCUAAAUUUUCUUAGUAAUUUCUGGUGAAGCGGGGGAAGUGAAAGUGGUUAGUAAACCUGUAGAUAAAUUGUUGUGAGUUGUGAGAUAAAUUUGUUCACUCAGUUGUACAAAGCACAACCAGAUAAUUUGUUGGAUGGUUCAUAUACAUUUUAAAGACUUUUAAUGUUAACCUUUUUAAGUUGACUGCAUAGUCACUAGAUGUGCUAGGAACUGGUUUCCUUCACUUUCUAGAAUCAAUGGCCAAGAGAGGCAUUCAUCCAUGAGGGGUUGAAUUUAUCAUGAAGCUGAGUCAGUAUGGAAGAAUUUCAAACAAAUCAAACAGGGUGCUGAAGUUCCAUCUGUCUCAUUUGCUAUGAUAAGUUCUUACUGAUUAGUGAAUGUAGCUUAAGCCUUUGUAUGGGUCCUCAGGGGGCAGGCAGACUUUAAGAGGGACCAGAUAAUGUUUGAAUGGAGGGAUUAUAUUUCAGGUGUUUUAGCUUGAAAUUUAUUUUUUAAAAAAAUAAAAAUAAUUUUAAAAAAACAGUAGAAUAAAGCCUGUGUAGCAAGUUGAUAUAAACAGGCAGAGUUGUUUAGCACAGAGAAAAUAUUGACCUGUCUGCAGAAUUCUGUUUUGAUGAACCCAGGUCUCAACUGAGUAUAACAAGAGAACAUUUUAACUAUUCUCACCAGCAAGGGAAAAAAAUGAACAGUCUUUAGGAAAUGUCUUUGAAAAGGGUCAAAUAAUAGAGAAUUGGAAUUUCACCUACUUUACACUGGCAUUAUUUAAUACUUGCCUAUAGAAAUACAGCAUUUCCAAGUUCUGAGGAGCCUGUCAGAGAUGUGAGUAAAUGCGAUUGUUUAAAACUUAGUAGGGAAGGAAGAAAAAUCCCUGCAGAUAAUGAUUUUAAUGUUGGUUGGCAAGGAAAAUGUCCUAUCAUUGUGUUUGGGAGGUUUUAUUUUCUUAUGUUUAAAACACAACUGGUUAAUGCUUUAUAGGCAUUUUUAUCCAAGUGCCAAUCCCAGUUUAUGUAAUAAAUUUUAUUAAAAUGGGAAAUGAUCUGUCAACAUUUUACUGUAUGUGUUAGGGAUGGCAAAGAAGAGUGCUUGUUAAGCGGUUUUCCAAGUAAAGUUGUCGGUGAUGGAUUUGUCCAUAUGUCAGUUGUUACCCCGCCCCCAAAAAAACCAUGCCUGCAGAAGAAAUGUGUUCUAACCCAGAUGCACCACAAAAUAAUCAGGGAAGUUCCUAGAAAGGUGUAUCUGCUUUGAGGAUAUUUUUGUUUUGUUAAGGAUUGGGGCAAAGAGUACCUCCCCCUAAACUAUCAGCACAAAACAGGGUAUUGAUUUUUUUUGAACGCCAAUGUUUCUAUUGGAGUUGAAUACUAAAUACAUAACUAUAGUGAGGGGAAUGCAUUUCUAAUAAAAUUCCCUAUACUAGAAAUAUCCCUGUGGUUUUUUUUAACCUAAAUCUUGUGCUUUAUGUGUAAAGAAAAAAUGUACUGAAUUACAAUGCAUUUUAUUAACACUAUGUACAUAUUAGCUGCUUUGUGUUCAGAAUGGUAGCAGUUGCUUUGUAUAUUACAGUGAUCCUUGUGAAUUUGUGAAAUAUUGUCAUAAAGUGCUUUUUCUUACUGUAAUCUUUGUGGUUUCAACUGUCAUAAUGCCCUUUUUACACAAACAUUUAUGUGCAGUCACAUAAACAUGCUUUUUAAAACUCUGUAAGUCUCUUUUUUUGGGAAGGGGAAUCUCUUUGUAUUUUAGUUUUUCCUUUGUAUUAAGUCAUUUUCUUAGACUUAGGUUUAUUCAUUUUGUUAAAUGUUCAGAAAAUAUGCUGCGGUGUAUCAUGAGCUUAUUUUGUGCGUGUACAGCAACAGAACUGUACUUCAACAGGAACCCAUCUUCAGCUAUUUGAUUUUUGCUGCAUUCCUGCUUUUUAGCCUAAGACUUCUUUUGCAGUAAGAUUCAACAGUGCCCAUUUGAGGAGUUGGAGAUACUUCCCUAUUGAGAUAACUAGUGGAGACAUAUUACCAGCUAUCUCUGCAUAGAAUGAAUUUUGCAUUGAACAAUAAGAACAUGCCUUAGGUUUCCUUAGAAUUCUGAAAUUCCAAGAUGUCAUAAAACAAGGGAGAAACAGGGUGUGUGGUUACUCUGCUUAAGUUACAGGAAUCAAAGAUGAUCCCCACCUAUAGUAUUGGAUUUAUGAAAUAAGUUCUAAAUGUAAGCAGUUGUUUAUCCCUAACUGCUAUGUUUUCUUAUUGCCAAGUUUAUUAAAUCUGCUAUACCAA